UACGUAGGCAGCAAGCGUUGUUCGGAGUUACUGGGCGUAAAGGGUGCGUAGGCGGUUUGGUAAGUCUUAUGUGAAAUCUAACAGGCUCAACUUGUAGUCUGCAUGAGAAACUGCCGGGCUUGAGUAUGGGAGAGGUGAGUGGAAUUCCUGGUGUAGCGGUGAAAUGCGUAGAUAUCAAGGAGGAACACCGGUGGCGAAGGCGGUUCUCUGGGCCUGUACUGACGCUGAGGAGCGAAAGCGUGGGGAGCGAACAGG
rnacentral:rRNA from 1 species